CCUACGGGGGGCAGCAGUGGGGAAUAUUGCGCAAUGGGCGAAAGCCUGACGCAGCGACGCCGCGUGAGGGAUGAAGGUCUUCGGAUCGUAAACCUCUGUCAGCAGGGAAGAACGGUCACUGUGCUAAUCAGCAGUGAAUUGACGGUACCUGCAAAGGAAGCACCGGCUAACUCCGUGCCAGCAGCCGCGGUAAUACGGAGGGUGCGAGCGUUAAUCGGAAUUACUGGGCGUAAAGCGCUCGUAGGCGGUAUGUCAAGUCAAGGGUGAAAUCCCCGCGCUCAACGUGGGAACUGCCUUUGAAACUGGCAAACUGGAGUGUGUGAGAGGAUAGUGGAAUGCCAGGUGUAGGAGUGAAAGCCGUAGAUAUCUGGAGGAACAUCAGUGGCGAAGGCGACUAUCUGGCACAUAACUGACGCUGAGGAGCGAAAGCGUGGGUAGCAAACAGGAUUAGAUACCCCGGUAGUC
rnacentral:rRNA from 1 species